CCUAACGUGUUUUCAAUUCUUACCUGAAUCGACCAGAUCUGAGAUGGAUAGAUUGUUUAAAAAAUCUAUACAUCUACACAUACGAGAGAGAGGGAGAGACAAGAUCCAGGGGAGAUGAUGACACGAUUCAAUGGCGGUUGAAGAAGAUCCAACGGUGGCGAUGGUGGUUUCAAGGUCAAAGCUUUGUUUUCAGGUGAUCCUGCUACUACAAUGAAGAUGAUGUCGAAAUUAGUGGCUGAAGAUUCCGAGCUGAUGCC